UAGUAAUGGAACAUCUGGAGAUGUCACCUCCUACAUAGCUUUCGUGUGAUUGUAGUCAUUUAGCUAAAUUUGUGUUUCCCUACAAAAACCCUGAACCACUUCCCUUUGACGGACAGGUUAGACGUUAAGGUACUUGUCUGCCACUUCCCUGGUAGUUAGCAUCCUAACUGAAUUUCCUCUUCCUUUCCUCCAGAUUCUUGUCCCCUGGGUCAUUGGCUCCUCUUGUGUUGAAUGUCUGAUUUCAGGUUCAGUAACAAAUCUUGAGUUGAGAACCGGCAUGAUGAAGCCCUGUGUCAGCAAGUCCACUGUCUCUCAACCAUACAUAGUCUGUGCUCUGUGCCCUGGAGCCAUGAUGGUCUCAUAACUAUGUGGAGCCUCUCCACUGACUGUUGCCUGAGAUGUGCUGGCACUGGGCAGAUGGCAUUAACCAGAAAAGAACAGACCUGUUGUCUAUCCCCAUGCUCCCCAUCUGCGAUGUGAACUUGAAGCUAGAGGCAGAGCAUCCAUCAUAUUACAUGAAGUUGAAACAAGCCUGAGAAUGUAAGGUACAAGCAGAGCCUGACGGAAUUGCUGGCACUGAAACUCAGGAAUCAGACAAGUAAGAACUGCUCUCAAUCAACCCUCUCCAGAGUUAAAUAUCAUCAUCAGUGACAACAUUUAGCUCAGUGUUUUGUUCUCUGAGCUCGCCAUUGACCAGGCUGCCCCUUUUACGGUCCCAUCUUUCAAGCCACAUCGGGUGUGCCUGGCCAGUUUAUCUAAGAUUUUCUCUGUUCCCUAAUUGCUUCUUAGUUGAACCUUCAGGUCCUGUUUGCUUCUUUCAACCCAGUACAAUAGGAGUCAUCCAUUUUGUGCUGGUAAGAGGUUACCCUAAACCCAAGCCAGCUUUCCCCUGCUGGCCUGCACACCUCCUGACCAUCCCAGUCACUUGCUGUUCACCUGGCAACAGCAGAUAAACUUGAGGGUUGUCUCAGGAAAAGCCUAAAAGAGGCUGCACAUCUGUUUCUAAAGAAAUGGAAAUUGCCUGGUACACUCAGCACCAAUGUGAUGAGAAAGGUGUGUGCAACACGCAUCGGCCUUUCUGCUACAGCAGUAAAAUUAGCCUGUGGCUGGCUGAACGCGUCAUUUAAGUCCGGACUGCAAGAUGUUUCUGAUGUUGUAACUCAUUUUUCAGAAUAGACAUUUCACCUCUAGGGAAACAAGGUUGGUUGUAGAACUUGGCAGAGAAAUCUAUCCUCUCUUGGAGGACAAAGAUAAGGGACAGUAUAUUGUAUCAAUGAUCAGUGUUUGUAAAAUGGACUCCACAUGGUAUUUCGGAGUGUUCUGCCAGGGCAGCAGCUGUGCUACCUUGCUCUACUUCUUUGUAAGCCAGGUGGCCGCUGCCACAGCCCCGCAGGUACCCUUGUUCUUUGUUUACGGUCCCUUUAAGAGUUGUGAGCGAUUUAGCUGGUGAAGCUCCAAGUGCCCUCUGGACUCAUUGGCACAAUGUGGGAAUUUUCCAACUUGGACAAGAGACAGCCUGUUCCCUAGGGAAGGCUCUUCAAGGUAAUUGCUCUCUGAGAGGUUCCUUCCACUACCAUUGGCAACCUUCAGAGACCAAUCCUCCUUUUAGGAGGAGCUAACAAGCCGUAGAGACGGGUGCACACACU